GAUGAACGCUGGCGGCGUGCCUAAUACAUGCCAGUCGAGCGAACGGACGAGAAGCUUGCCUUUCUGAUGUUAGCGGCGGACGGGUGAGUAACACGUGGAUAACCUACCUAUAAGACUGGGAUAACUUCGGGAAACCGGAGCUAAUACCGGAUAAUAUUUUGAACCGCAUGGUUCAAAAGUGAAAGACGGUCUUGCUGUCACUUAUAGAUGGAUCCGCGCUGCAUUAGCUAGUUGGUAAGGUAACGGCUUACCAAGGCAACGAUGCAUAGCCGACCUGAGAGGGUGAUCGGCCACACUGGAACUGAGACACGGUCCAGACUCCUACGGGAGGCAGCAGUAGGGAAUCUUCCGCAAUGGGCGAAAGCCUGACGGAGCAACGCCGCGUGAGUGAUGAAGGUCUUCGGAUCGUAAAACUCUGUUAUUAGGGAAGAACAUAUGUGUAAGUAACUGUGCACAUCUUGACGGUACCUAAUCAGAAAGCCACGGCUAACUACGUG
rnacentral:rRNA from 1 species